rnacentral:lncRNA from 1 species
GACAAUCAAUUUUAUAUUAAAGGUGGUGUUUCAAUAGUAAUAUCCAUUUUCUGUUCUCAUCAUGAAUUGAGCAGCAGAAUAAAAAGGCCACAUAUGCUAAAGAGAGUUGGUCCACGAAUCACAAGAGAGACCAACAAACCCGACCACAGGAACUGGAUUGGCUUGCAGACAAUCAACCUACCCGAAGUAAAUUGAUACCUGAGGAAUGUCAAUAUCAUUAUCCUCAUCAUCCUCACAUGCCACCACAACAUCCAAGUGAGACCGGUAUGCAGGUAGUUCCACCUUGGCCACUUCCCGGGCCAGAUCCACUACCUUCUUGUCCAUUCGCUCCCUGUGUCGAGGGAACAUACUGUUGUAGAGCAGGCAACUUCCACAUGAGAUACUAUAUGCAUUCAGCCCCUUGUCCUUGAGCCAUUGGAGAAGUUCCCUUAGAGUCGGAUUGUCUUUGAGGAUCCACCUGUCCCAAACAGUCCAGCUCAUAUCCCGGUGCUUGAUGACUUUGGGCGGGACUGGCUCAGCCAUGGAGAAAAGUGGGAGGGCUAGGUUGGCAAAUGUGUUGCGAUAGUCUUCCAGUUUGUGCCCUCCAUCCAAAACCUUGUACAGUUCAAGGCAGACAAGACCCGUGGCCAUUGCUGUGGAGGUUGCAAUCGCAGGGAUAAUCCUCCCAGCAAUGAACUUGGCUUUCAGUUUGUCAACUUCAGGAAUGCUGUAGUUCCUCGCCCUCAUGUUUGCAAGACCGGCUAUCAGGUCCAUAUGGUAAUUUGUAUCAUCAUCCUGCACAUUACAUUUAUGGGACCAUAUUAAGGAGAGUUAAAACAAAACAUAGGGCGUUUUCCACACCAUCUACCAGAUGUGCCAAGUUUAACACAGUUUAUUCAAACACCUGUGAGUGUUUCGAAAUUUCUAAAAAUGCAAAAAGGAGACGAACCUUCUCAAACUGAAUUGGGUUCAUCCUGAACCCUGGUGGCAGACUCUUCCAGCUCUGCUCUAUCUUAGCAAGUAGUUCAUUGAUGACUGCUGCAUCAUCUACAGAUGCAGUAGAAAGGCUAGUAGCCUUCUCAUCGGUCACAAUCUUCACAUCAGUCUUUGGCUGAAAUUCUGGCACUAUCACCUUAUCAACAGCUUCAGCCAACUUCUUAGGAUGCUUGGCCCAGUCAGGAAUUGGGAUGCCAAAUGUCUCAGCCCGUAGAAUGGAUGCCGCCAUGACAAAAUAGAGGUGACCAGCAUCAGCAGCUGAGAACUGUAAUGGAUGAGGGAAUCGCUUGGGAGCUGACCAGAAUGGAGCCCCAGUGCUGGUUGCAGCAUCCUCAGGAAAAGUAAAAAUCAACUGCUUAACACGGUUAACAAAAUAAUCUUCAAACCUGUUAAAUAGAAGGCAGUGAGAAAUCAGCACAGAGAACAUAGUGUGUAGGGAAAUGACAAAUAUGAUCAAUUACACGGGAAAUACCUGAGACGGGCCCAGGUGAUACAGUCCUGGAAUGUCUCACAUCUCUCUCUCUCAAGGCAUUCGAGAACACGUUCCAGGUUAUCCCUAGCUUGAGCAUCACCAGCAUUCCUCAUUGCAGAUGCAUAUUCAGUUGGAUUAGACAAAAAUGCAUUCACUUCUGCUGGCGUUUUCUCAAGCAAACCCUCAAACUCGGAUCGAGCCCAUGUCAAGCAGUGGUCAAUAUUGUGUGGGAAAGAGUGCACCGUGCACAUGGGAGCUUGUUUCUCAGGUGGGUCUCUUGAGGCACCAUAAUUUUCUGUCAGGUGAGGAAUUACCAUCUGCGUGUUGCAUUUGGCACCCAGAGUUCCCGACUCAAGCAGCGGUUUCUGGAAAUACAAGCACCUCUGAUCAACAUACAACCUCGCAUUGACAUUGUCUAGUGCAUUGAUAACGACACUCAAAUUCUCCCAAAAGGCAUCAUUAAACACAUUCUCUGUCUCAGGGCCCACACGAUUUUGCAAAGCUUCAAUGUGGAGACAAGGAUUUAUUGUUUGAGCAGCAGAAGCAGCAACAGUGGAUUUGGCCUGCCCAAUGUUCCAAUCACGGAAGAGGAACUGCCUACUAAGGUUACUCUUCUCAAUCACAUCAUCAUCAGUAAUUGUUAGCUUCCCUUGAUUGCCACAUGAAACUCCCAUCAGAGCUACAUUUUUUAAGAACUCACAACCUAGUGCACCAGAUCCUACCAUGAAAACUACAGCAUCCUCCAGUUUCUUCUGUAGCUUAGACCCAAACACCGAAAUCUGUGCAUCGUAUCGGCUAUUCAAUGGUUUGAAAUCACUGGAAUCUGGUGCCUCUGUAGGAAGUGACUCCACUGAGUCGAAGUAGAAGAACUGCAAAAGCAAGUAACAACAAUGUUAAUUCACCAGCAAAAGCAAUCAAGUAUCAUUAUGGAACUCAAAGCAAUGAAAAAAGUGGAGAUAGAUGCUUGUGACUAACCAAUAUACAUAUAGAACAUAUCAAUGUGUAAUUUCCAAUCUAAAUAGAACAAAUCAAUGAAUUGAAAGUACAAAACCUGAAAAAGUGGAUGAAACUUUCCAGAGCAUGCCUUCACAACCUCCUGUCCUACAAUACCACCAAACAUAGCAGCCAUGGGAUUCAAUACCGCCCUGGCACCAAAAGCAAAGUGCCGCAAAAGUUUUGGAUUAAUAUCUUCUAGUUUCCCAUCUCCCAAGCCCUCAUUGAUGUUACUGGAUAUGAAUAUCAGUUUCUGAGCAUCCUCCUCAGAACCAGCAACAGGGAAGCGUCCCAACUCGGAUAUAAACCUGUCAAGCGCUUGGAAUGCCAGAUGUAGGAGGGGUGGGCGAUCAAACUUGGAGAAAUCGCUCAGAAGAAAAUCACCAGGAUCACUGAGUGCUUCUCUCAAUGGCUUAAAGUUCAAGACCUUGGGCUGUUUCACCUGUGUGACAAUACCACCUUUCUCGUAGGUACCAAAAUUUGUGGUGUCCUCCUCAAGAGUAAACGAAUAUGGCCUUGCAUUUUUUAUCUUUCUUGGCUUUCCAUCAUUGAGUUCUGUCAUUCCAUGGACUUCUGAGAAUACAACAAGAUCCCCAUCCUGAAACUCAAGCCUCUCAUCAUCAACACAUGACACCAGUGCAGGAUUAUCAUUGCUAAUGGAUGCAAUUAUACCCGUGUGUGGUUCCUCUCCAUCAACAUCAAAAACUGUGAAUUCAGGACCAAAGUCACAAAACACUGAACCAAAAAGGCCUCUAACUUCAGCCUUGAUGAAAGCGAUAGGAGGCUGAUGACUAUGGCAGUAAUCAUUGAACUCGAUAGCUUUCUCAAAAUAGAUAUCCGUAAAUACAACAGCCUGCAUCAUGCAUAGAAAAAAAUAGCCACUCAGAGGUAAACAAUCAUUAGAUAAUCUUAUCAACAGUAGCAAGUAGCAACAUAUAACACGCAGUCUCUAUGCAACCCCCACACGACCAAACACUAACCCCCACCACCCACACACAAGCAAUGGAACAAAAAUAUAAGUCAAAAAGCACAAUAUGAUGUCAAAAAGGCCCUACACCCUGGAAGUAGAAAACUACUCUUAUAUCUGAACUCCUUGUCACCAAAACAAAAAUAUAUAAUGAUGGAAGUGACAGUUAAUUCAUUCCAUUUAACAUUAUUCAAACAAGAAAAAGUGGUUACAGCUCAUUCACAAUCUAUUUUUCAAUCUAAUUGGUCAAAAGUUCUCAUCUGUCUGCACUGCAUCAUUUUGCUAGACUUAGAAUUUAUUUGAAACUAUUCAAACCCCUUUAGGGUGCCAUUCCACUUGAAAUGCAGGCCCAAUACAAACACAAAGAAGACCUCGCUCAAUAUAAUGCUCACUCCCCAAUAAAGGAAUCAUGAAUAAAGCUAAGCAUGAUGAGGGCGCCAUCUGUCUACAGAACUCAAGGUCACCAUCAAGUAUACAGACAGCUAAAUUUCGGAGGCUGGAGAAUUUUGUGUAAGAUCUGCCCCUUGCUUUUGUGCAGCUGGAAAAAACAAAGAAAAUUCUAAUAUUUUGACCUCCCAAUAGGAGUUGUGAAGGUAAGGGUUCUGACCAGACUUAUCAUGCCAGUUCCCUUGGUUAAAGGGUAGAAUCUUUGAAGGGGUGGAAUUGUCAAAGCUGAAAGAUGUUUUCCUGCACUUUUGGUUGAGGGAUUCUUUUGCAAAAAAGAGUGUCAUAUCUGAAGUUUAUCGAUUUGGUGGAGAUGGCUUGAGGCCAUUGGUCUAACCUUUUCUUAAAGUCAUUCAACCUUUUACUUUUGCUUGGCACACAUAAAUAGACUCAACCUCUAUAUGGCACUUUUCUAUAUAUUAUCUAUUUGCUUAUAAAAAUAGAAAAGGCUCCCUUGGCUAAAGGGUUCUCACUUUCUACCAGUUGCAAUACGAGAAUACUAACAUGCUGCCAUCUUAUUGUGUACUUUGUACGUCAAGAGGCAAUGCAAAAAUAAAAAAUAAUAAACAAGAGGCUUUUUUUUAUAGGUAAAUAAGCAAAAUAUAUUAAAGGUGCUUGCAAAAACGCACAACAAAGUGCACAGGAAGUAUGCAUAUAUGGCCCAAAGGCAAGCAAGAAAAGAAAAGAGAAAGACUAAAAACCACCUUCCCACCAACACCAAGCUCCCACAGCGGUUGGAAACCCCCAAGCAGAAACCUAAAGACAAAAACAAAAACCCCUACUCGAAACAAACAAAAAACCCUUAGCAAAAUAAAUUAAAUACCAGUGGCCAGCAGAAACCCCUGCUGUUAAGUCCCCACCCCCCUCCCCUUUCCAUUUACCGUGGACGGAACACUACUGUAAUUGACUAAGCACUUGAGCCUUCAAAUUUCCUUCUCAAGACUUGAAGAGGACAUGGAUUUUUGCCCUCCCCUGAGACACCUUAACCCCGUGACCUUUCUUCGCUUCCAAUUUUCUAAGAAGAAAGCUGAUUUCCUUUUCAAAACCCAAAACCGGCAACCCCAAACAAUUGGAGAACUUGACAAAACUGUUGGGAAGACACACAAAACAAAAGACCCUUCAUGUAGAUCCUAACCAAUUAAUAAAAUUUAUCAUGGUUAGGGAAACGUCAUCUAUAUAUCCUACCCACAAUAGAAGGUUGCAAAGAAAAAUUGACUUAAGAAUUCGAUCAAACAUUUCUUUACUUUCGAAUGCUCUCUGGUUUCUCUCCUUCCACCAAAACCAAAAUACGCACAACUAGAUAACCCUCCACACCACCUUUUGAAAUAAAAGAGCCAUGCAACCCAAGAGAAAUUUCCCAACCGAACUUAAUAUCACCCUAACAAUCCCAAACAAGGAAAGCACCAAAUUCCAUAACACUUCAACUCUAACAUAAUGCAAAAGGAUGAUUCUUCAUCAUCCUUACAAUGAAAGGAUUGAUUUACCAAAGACCAAUCCCUCCUCCUUUGCAUCCUAUAAAUGUCAAAACCUUUCCCCAAUAAGCACCCCACCAAAAGAAGAAGAGAAAAAAAACAACUUUAGGUGAAGCCAUGGAUUGAAAAAUCGUUUUUUAUCGACGACAUUUUGCCGAUAUAUCGGAUAUUGGAUGGCCCUGAAAGGAUAUUGAGCACCAAUUAUCAAAGACGAGGAAUAUCAGGAAAAUUGGCGAAAAAAUUGAGCGUGAAGCAACGCACGGAGUAGCAAAGAAAGCCUGUCAAAAUAUCAAAGAUAUAUCAACGAUAUAUCGGAUAUAUCUACGAAUAUAUCGGAUAUAUCUGGGAAAUAUCGGAGAUUUUUUUGAAAGCUUUUUUUAAAAAAAUAUUUAUCCUUUUUUUACUUUUUAAUUAUUCAUUUUUAAUUUAUUUUUUAUUUUAAAUCUAUAUUAUCAUUUUAUUUUUAACUACUUUUUAUAUUUAUCUCAUUAAUGUUAUUUUAAAAAAUUACUAUCACUUCAUUCUUUUUUUUAUCCGUUUAAUUUUAUUUAAUUUAUAUUCAUUUAUUUAAAAUAUUAAAAUAUAAUUUUACUCAAAAAUUGCUACAAUAUAAAAAAAAUUAAUAAAGUCCUAAUAUUCUAUAAAUUAAAAUUAAUUUGAUAAGAAAAAUUAGUAAUAAUUUUAAUUAUUUAAAUGAUAAUAGAAAAUUUGUCACUUAUAAUAAAUUUUUAGAAAUCAAAUCUCAAAUAAAAUAUUUUAUAUAAAUCAAUUUCAUUUUUUAUUUAAAAUGUAAUAAAAUAUGUUUUAAUAAAAGUAUUUUAAUUUUUAAAAUAAAUGAAUAUAAAUAUAUUAAAGGAAUUUAUGCUAAUUUUUUAUAAAAAUUUGAUAAAUAUUAUAUGUACGAUUAAAGAUAAUAUUUAUCAAAUUUUUAUAAAAAAAUUAGCAAUACUUAUUUUAUCUUUUUUUUUUUUUUGAGUUUUUUCAAGCAUUCUUGUGAAUUUUGAAUAAUUUUCGUCUCAUCGAUAUUUUUGUCGAAAUAUCCACCGAUAUAUCCGUAUUUACCAAUAUUUUAAUCCUUGGGUGAAGCCAUCGCAAGCCAAAUAACUUUUGUAAGGAAAUCUUCCACUCUUUCCAAUCCCAAGAAAUUUUAGAAGGAUUUGACUGAAAAAUUACCCUCUUUGCUUGCAUCCAAACCAUCAUGUCUUCCCAAUCCCUAUUCACAACCUUGCCUUGAAGUAUUAAAAGGAAGGCUUCAAGCCUCCCCAUCUCCCAUUUAUUCAAAUUCUUUUAGAAGCUAGUGUUCCAAUGCCCACCCUCAAUUUAUUGAUCCCACACAUCAACCACCAAAGAAUCCUUUGUCAAGAGACUCUUUUAAAGAUGAAUCACCACACCAUCUAUCAUUCCAAGACUUCCCACACAUCAACCACCCAAGAAUCCUAUCAUAAGACUCUUUUAAAGAUGAAUCACCACAACAUUUAUCAUUCCAGAUUUUCAUCUUCUCCCAUUGUCCACUUUGAAUGAGGUUUUCCUAUUGAUAUUCUCCCAAACUCAUAUGAUGGUCUUCCACAAUCCAAUUAGAAAACUAUCCCUACUUUCCAUGGAACGCCAAUCCCCUUCCUCCUAACCAUACAUCCCAACAAGAACCCACUUCCACAAGGAUCCACUUUUUGAGAUAAACCUUCAAUUCCACUUACCUAGCAAAGCCUUAUUGAGAACCAAGUAUGGUUUUUAAUCCCAAAGCCUUCCUUAUUUGAUCUCGGCAAAUGAUAAUCUAUCUCACCAAGUAUGGUUUUUUCUCUAACAAGCCUCCACCCCACAAAAAACUUCUUUGAAUCUUCUCGAUCCCCCCUUUCAAUCCCUCCCCAUCUCACGUUCAUGAGUAUGACAAAAGGAGACAUGCUAAAUGGGCAAGCUUGAUAGAGUACUCUUAUGAGAGUGAGUCGUCCCCCACCUUUAGAAAGAUUAUUGUCUUUUCUACAUAGUUAGCCUCUUAUGGACACUCUCUUCUACCAAUAGCCAACCAACCCUCGACUAAUAAGGAGCUCCUAGGAAGAAGACCCAAAUACACAAUGGGAAGAAUUAAAGAAACCAAACAAAAAGAAGGGGGCGACCCUAAGGACAUGGGAGGUAUACAAAGGAUGCCAAAGCGUUUACAUUCUUUGAAAUGGAGACUUCCAAAGCCUCUACAUUCUCCCUACCCUACCCUACCCCACCCAAAGACUCUAAUGUCAAACCCGUAAUACUCCAAUCUCCUAAUUUAAAUAAUAGGUUUCAAAAGGACUAAGUUACUCCUCCCUUUUAUCUCCUCCUCCCUCAAAAGCCAACUACCAUUUAUCUUGACUCUAGCCAUGAAAUUACUCAUUUGGUGAGCUUUCGCCAUGUUGUAGGGGGAAAAAUAGCAUUUAUGUCCCCUUCCCUCAACCAAAGUUCCAUUGGUUUCUACCUCCAAGAUGCUUCUUCCCACAAGGCCAAAUGAUAAUACUCCUCCAUGGUUAUCCUUCUAGCUUCAACCUCUUCAUCAAAAAGGGUCAUUUCACUUUCUUUGGCAUCCCAUUGAUAAUUUUUUUCAAUUUUAUCGAUAUUUCCAUUGAUAUCCAUAUUUCAAUUGAUAUUUCUAUAAAAUCAAUUCGUCGAUGUUUCUAUCAACAUCAACCUUUUCAUCAUUGGAUAUUAUCAAUCGGAAGUAAAUUCAAUGUAUGGAAAAAAAAUUGCAUUAUAUGAUUUUCUUUUAAGAGAGACAAUCAAUAUAAGUGCGAACCCAAAAAUUUCAC